rnacentral:rRNA from 1 species
CCUACGUGGGGCUGCAGUGGGGAAUAUUGGACAAUGGGCGAAAGCCUGAUCCAGCCAUGCCGCGUGUGUGAAGAAGGCCUUCGGGUUGUAAAGCACUUUCAGUGGGGAAGAAAGCCUUGGGGCUAAUACCCUCGAGGAAGGACAUCACCCACAGAAGAAGCACCGGCUAACUCCGUGCCAGCAGCCGCGGUAAUACGGAGGGUGCGAGCGUUAAUCGGAAUUACUGGGCGUAAAGCGCGCGUAGGCGGUCUGAUAAGCCGGUUGUGAAAGCCCCGGGCUCAACCUGGGAACGGCAUCCGGAACUGUCAGGCUAGAGUGCAGGAGAGGAAGGUAGAAUUCCCGAUGUAGCGGUGAAAUGCGUAGAGAUCGGGAGGAAUACCAGUGGCGAAGGCGGCCUUCUGGACUGACACUGACGCUGAGGUGCGAAAGCGUGGGUAGCAAACAGGAUUAGAUACCCGAGUAGUC